AUGAACGCUAGCGACAGGCUUAACACAUGCAAGUCGAGGGGCAGCACAGGUAGCAAUACCGGGUGGCGACCGGCGCACGGGUGAGUAACGCGUAUGCAACUUGCCUAUCAGAGGGGGAUAACCCGGCGAAAGUCGGACUAAUACCGCAUGAAGCAGGGAUCCCGCAUGGGAAUAUUUGCUAAAGAUUCAUCGCUGAUAGAUAGGCAUGCGUUCCAUUAGGCAGUUGGCGGGGUAACGGCCCACCAAACCGACGAUGGAUAGGGGUUCUGAGAGGAAGGUCCCCCACAUUGGUACUGAGACACGGACCAAACUCCUACGGGAGGCAGCAGUGAGGAAUAUUGGUCAAUGGCCGAGAGGCUGAACCAGCCAAGUCGCGUGAGGGAUGAAGGUUCUAUGGAUCGUAAACCUCUUUUAUAAGGGAAUAAAGUGCGGGACGUGUCCCGUUUUGUAUGUACCUUAUGAAUAAGGAUCGGCUAACUCCGUGCCAGCAGCCGCGGUAAUACGGAGGAUCCGAGCGUUAUCCGGAUUUAUUGGGUUUAAAGGGUGCGUAGGCGGCCUUUUAAGUCAGCGGUGAAAGUCUGUGGCUCAACCAUAGAAUUGCCGUUGAAACUGGGGGGCUUGAGUAUGUUUGAGGCAGGCGGAAUGCGUGGUGUAGCGGUGAAAUGCAUAGAUAUCACGCAGAACCCCGAUUGCGAAGGCAGCCUGCCAAGCCAUUACUGACGCUGAUGCACGAAAGCGUGGGGAUCAAACAGGAUUAGAUACCCUGGUAGUCCACGCAGUAAACGAUGAUCACUAGCUGUUUGCGAUACACUGUAAGCGGCACAGCGAAAGCGUUAAGUGAUCCACCUGGGGAGUACGCCGGCAACGGUGAAACUCAAAGGAAUUGACGGGGGCCCGCACAAGCGGAGGAACAUGUGGUUUAAUUCGAUGAUGCGCGAGGAACCUUACCCGGGUUUGAACGCAUUCGGACCGAGGUGGAAACACCUUUUCUAGCAAUAGCCGUUUGCGAGGUGCUGCAUGGUUGUCGUCAGCUCGUGCCGUGAGGUGUCGGCUUAAGUGCCAUAACGAGCGCAACCCUUGCCACUAGUUACUAACAGGUAAAGCUGAGGACUCUGGUGGGACUGCCAGCGUAAGCUGCGAGGAAGGCGGGGAUGACGUCAAAUCAGCACGGCCCUUACAUCCGGGGCGACACACGUGUUACAAUGGCGUGGACAAAGGGAGGCCACCUGGCGACAGGGAGCGAAUCCCCAAACCACGUCUCAGUUCGGAUCGGAGUCUGCAACCCGACUCCGUGAAGCUGGAUUCGCUAGUAAUCGCGCAUCAGCCAUGGCGCGGUGAAUACGUUCCCGGGCCUUGUACACACCGCCCGUCAAGCCAUGGGAGCCGGGGGUACCUGAAGUCCGUAACCGAAAGGAUCGGCCUAGGGUAAAACUGGUGACUGGGGCU
rnacentral:rRNA from 1 species